rnacentral:misc_RNA from 1 species
UUGCGUCGUAAGGCCCAGCCUUGUGUUGAGAAUUUCCUUCGCCAGGAAUUCUCCAAACCCGUCGGCGACGUCAGUGCCCGCAUCGCAACACACUGCGGCUACGGCAUGUGGCGCCGCCAAAAAACCGUCAU